GUGAGGGAUAUUGGGCAAUGGGGGAAACCCUGACCCAGCGACGCCGCGUGAGGGAAGACGGUCUUCGGAUUGUAAACCUCUGUCUUUGGGGACGAAAAAGGACGGUACCCAAGGAGGAAGCUCCGGCUAACUACGUGCCAGCAGCCGCGGUAAUACGUAGGGAGCGAGCGUUGUCCGGAAUUACUGGGUGUAAAGGGAGCGUAGGCGGGAUUGCAAGUUGGAUGUGAAAACUGCGGGCUCAACCCGGAGAGUGCAUUCAAAACUGCGAUUCUUGAGUGAAGUAGAGGCAAGCGGAAUUCCUAGUGUAGCGGUGAAAUGCGUAGAUAUUAGGAGGAACACCAGUGGCGAAGGCGGCUUGCUGGGCUUUUACUGACGCUGAGGCUCGAAAGUGUGGGGAGCAAACAGG
rnacentral:rRNA from 1 species